rnacentral:rRNA from 1 species
AAAGAAUACCAAUUGCGAAGGCAGCUUUCUGGAUCAUUACUGACACUGAGGAACGAAAGCAUGGGUAGCGAAGAGGAUUAGAUACCCUCGUAGUCCAUGCCGUAAACGAUGUGUGCUAGACGUUGGAAAUUUAUUUUCAGUGUCGCAGGGAAACCGAUAAACACACCGCCUGGGGAGUACGACCGCAAGGUUAAAACUCAAAUGAAUUGACGGGGACCCGCACAAGUAGUGGAGCAUGUGGUUUAAUUCGAAGAUACGCGCAGAACCUUACCAACACUUGACAUGUUCGUCGCGACUCUAAGAGAUUAGAGUUUUCGGUUCGGCCGGACGAAACACAGGUGCUGCAUGGCUGUCGUCAGCUCGUGUCGUGAGAUGUUGGGUUAAGUCCCGCAACGAGCGCAACCCUCACUUUUAGUUGCCAUCAUUAAGUUGGGCACUCUGAAAGAACUGCCAGUGAUAAGCUGGAGGAAGGUGGGGAUGACGUCAAGUCCUCAUGGCCCUUACGGGUUGGGCUACACACGUGCUACAAUGGCAGUGACAAUGGGUUAAUCCCCAAAAGCUGUCUCAGUUCGGAUUGGGGUCUGCAACUCGACCCCAUGAAGUCGGAAUCGCUAGUAAUCGCGUAACAGCAUGACGCGGUGAAUACGUUCCCGGGCCUUGUACACACCGCCCGUCACACCAUGGGAGUUGGUUCUACCCGACGACGCUGCGCUAACCCUUCGGGGAGGCAGGCGGCCACGGUAGGAUCAGCGACUGGGGUGAAGUCGUAACAAGGUAACCGUA